rnacentral:rRNA from 1 species
AUUGAACGCUGGCGGCAUGCUUUACACAUGCAAGUCGAACGGGGUGAGGGGGCAACUCCUCAUCUAGUGGCGAACGGGUGAGUAAUGCAUCGGAACGUGUCCCGUAGUGGGGGAUAACCCGGCGAAAGCCGGACUAAUACCGCAUAUGCUCUACGGAGGAAAGUGGGGGACCAGCAAUGGCCUCACGCUAUGGGAGCGGCCGAUGUCCGAUUAGCUUGUUGGUGAGGUAAUGGCUCACCAAGGCGACGAUCGGUAGCUGGUCUGAGAGGAUGAUCAGCCACACUGGGACUGAGACACGGCCCAAACUCCUACGGGAGGCAGCAGUGGGAAUAUUGGACAAUGGGCGCAAGCCUGAUCCAGCCAUGCCGCGUGGGUGAUGAAGGCCCUAGGGUUGUAAAGCUCUUUGUGCGGGAAGAUAAUGACGGUACCGCAAGAAUAACG